CUUUGUCCUAAGUAUAUAAAAGACUGAGCCAAACAAUGGUUCUGUAGUCUCCUAGCUUUGGCUGAAGAGAGUGCUUUUAAAAGUCAGAUUUUAAACCUUGGAUACUAGCUAUACAUGAUGAGGAUCCACCUUUUUUGACCCUAAUCCAGCUGUGAGAAAUUGGACCCAUGGAGGAUGAGUUAAGCAUCAAUAAUGGUGAGUAUGAAUCUACUGAUAUCACGAAGAAAUUUAUUAUCGGCGUCUUCACCAUCUGCCUGGUUUUCAUACUCGUGCUGAUUACUCUUCUCAGCUGCCUUCACAUCAAAUUGGCCAAGACAAGGAUAGCAACUGAGUUUCUACCACUGGAAGAUAUGCUAGACCCCUUUGAUGAACCAUAAAAGGAACAAUCAUGUUUCCUCAGGAGAGGAAGGAGAGACAGAUAUGCACACCUUUUCCCAGUUUUUUUCUCCCUUUUCCUUGUCUCCCUCUCUCAUAUCAUAUAUGUCUAUCUUUGGUAUUCAGAAGAAAUAUGUGCAAUAAAAAAUGCAAUAAAGAGCUA